AACGAACGCUGGCGGCAGGCUUAACACAUGCAAGUCGAACGGAUCCUUCGGGAUUAGUGGCAGACGGGUGAGUAACGCGUGGGAACGUACCCUUUGCUACGGAAUAACUCAGGGAAACUUGAGCUAAUACCGUAUGUGCCCUACGGGGGAAAGAUUUAUCGGCAAAGGAUCGGCCCGCGUUGGAUUAGCUAGUUGGUGGGGUAAUGGCCUACCAAGGCGACGAUCCAUAGCUGGUCUGAGAGGAUGAUCAGCCACACUGGGACUGAGACACGGCCCAGACUCCUACGGGAGGCAGCAGUGGGGAAUAUUGGACAAUGGGCGCAAGCCUGAUCCAGCCAUGCCGCGUGAGUGAUGAAGGUCUUAGGAUUGUAAAGCUCUUUCACCGGUGAAGAUAAUGACGGUAGCCGGAGAAGAAGCCCCGGCUAACCUCGUG
rnacentral:rRNA from 1 species